rnacentral:rRNA from 1 species
AACGCUGGCGGCGUGCAUGAGACAUGCAAGUCGAACGGACGACACAGGGCUUGCCUUGUGUCGUUAGUGGCGGACGGCUGAGUAACGCGUAGGUGACCUGCCCCGAAGUGGGGAAUAACUGCCCGAAAGGGUGGCUAAUACCGCAUGUGGUGAUGCGUUCGAUCGCAUCAGUAAAGCCGCAAGGCGCUUCGGGAGGGGCCUGCGUCCGAUUAGCUCGUUGGUGGGGUAACGGCUCACCAAGGCGACGAUCGGUAGGUGGUCUGAGAGGACGAUCACCCAGACUGGGACUGAGACACGGCCCAGACUCCUACGGGAGGCAGCAGUCGGGAAUUUUGCGCAAUGGACGAAAGUCUGACGCAGCAACGCCGCGUGAGGGAUGACGGCCUUCGGGUUGUAAACCUCUUUUGUCAGGGACGAUAAUGACGGUACCUGACGAAUAAGCCACGGCUAACUACGUGCCAGCAGCCGCGGUAAUACGUAGGUGGCAAGCGUUGUCCGGAUUUACUGGGCGUAAAGAGCGCGCAGGCGGUCGAUCAAGUCCCGUGUGAAAGCCCCCGGCUCAACUGGGGAGGGUCACGGGAUACUGAUCGACUCGAAGGCAGGAGAGGGUAGUGGAAUUCCCGGUGUAGUGGUGAAAUGCGUAGAUAUCGGGAGGAACACCAGUGGCGAAGGCGACUACCUGGCCUGUUCUUGACGCUGAGGCGCGAAAGCUAGGGGAGCAAACG